GACGAACGCUGGCGGCGUGCCUAAUACAUGCAAGUAGGACGCAGUUGCGAACGGGUGAGUAACGCGUAGGUAACUACCUAUUAGAGGGGGGUAACUAUUGGAAACGAUAGAUAAUACCGCAUACUAGUAGAUGGACCUGAGUUGUAUUAGCUAGUAGGUAGGGUAAUGGCCUACCUAGGCAACGAUACAGAGCCGACCUUGGCGGGGGAUCGGCCACACUGGUACUGGGAAAAUGGCCAGACUCCUUCGGGAGGCAACCGUAGGGAAUCUUCGGCAAUUGGGGGAACCCUGACCGAGCAACGCCGGGUGAGUGGAGAAGGUUUUCGGAUCUUAAAGCUCUGUUGUUAAGGAAGCGUUACUUAACCAGAAAGGGACGGCUAACUACGUGCCAGCAGCCGCGGUAAUAC
rnacentral:rRNA from 1 species